rnacentral:rRNA from 1 species
UACGUAGGGUGCGAGCGUUGUCCGGAAUUAUUGGGCGUAAAGAGCUUGUAGGCGGUUUGUCGCGUCUGCCGUGAAAACCCGAGGCUAAACCUCGGGCCUGCAGUGGGUACGGGCAGACUAGAGUGCGGUAGGGGAGAUUGGAAUUCCUGGUGUAGCGGUGGAAUGCGCAGAUAUCAGGAGGAACACCAACGGCGAAAGCACUCUGCUGGGCCGACACUGACACUGAGAGACGAAAGCUAGGGGAGCGAAUGGG